rnacentral:rRNA from 1 species
UACUGAUUGAGAUUUUAACACGAAGUGAGUGGCGAACGGGUGAGUAACACGUGGGUAACCUGCCCAGAAGUAGGGGAUAACACCUGGAAACAGAUGCUAAUACCGUAUAAAACCUAGCACCGCAUGGUGCAAGGUUGAAAGAUGGUUUCGGCUAUCACUUUAGGAUGGACCCGCGGUGCAUUAGUUAGUUGGUGAGGUAAAGGCUCACCAAGACCGUGAUGCAUAGCCGACCCUGAGAGGGUAAUCGGCCACACUGGGACUGAGACACGGCCCAGACUCC